GUUUGAACGAGAUAUUGGUGUGGUUCAAUGACAAAGCAAUGCUUAAAAUGUCCAAGUUUUUCUUUUUUAUUGAGCCGUGCCAAUAUCACGUGUCAUUGC
rfam:Cicer arietinum chromosome Ca1, whole genome shotgun sequence.